rnacentral:rRNA from 1 species
AUUGAACGCUGGCGGCAGGCUUAACACAUGCAAGUCGAGCGGAGAGAGGUAGCUUGCUACUGAUCUUAGCGGCGGACGGGUGAGUAAUGCUUAGGAAUCUGCCUAUUAGUGGGGGACAACAUUUCGAAAGGAAUGCUAAUACCGCAUACGUCCUACGGGAGAAAGCAGGGGAUCUUCGGACCUUGCGCUAAUAGAUGAGCCUAAGUCGGAUUAGCUAGUUGGUGGGGUAAAGGCCUACCAAGGCGACGAGCUGUAGCGGGUCUGAGAGGAUGAACCGCCACACUGGGACUGAGACACGGGACAGACUCCUACGGGAGGCAGCAGUGGGGAAUAUUGGACAAUGGGCGGAAGCCUGAUCCAGCCAUGCCGCGUGUGUGAAGAAGGCCUUAUGGUUGUAAAGCACUUUAAGCGAGGAGGAGGCUACUUUAGUUAAUACCUAGAGAUAGUGGACGUUACUCGCAGAUUAAGCACCGGCUAACUCUGUGCCAGCCGCCGCAGUAAAAC